AUGGCGGCGCCGGCGGCCGGGCGCGGCGGCGGGGCCAUGUCGUCGGACAACGCCAAGGGCCUGGUCCUCGCGGUGUCGUCCAGCGCCUUCAUCGGGGCCAGCUUCAUCGUCAAGAAGAUGGGGCUCAGGAGGGCGGCCGACUCCGGCGUCCGCGCCGGAUAUGGAGGAUUUUCUUACUUAGUGGAGCCUCUUUGGUGGAUAGGCAUGAUUUCUAUGAUUGUAGGUGAAAUUGCUAAUUUUGCUGCUUACGCAUUCGCUCCUGCUAUUCUUGUCACUCCUCUUGGCGCACUCAGUAUAAUCAUCAGUGCUGCACUUGCACAUGCCAUUCUACAGGAGAAACUGCACAUAUUUGGUAUACUUGGUUGUGUUCUCUGUGUUGUUGGGUCCAUCACAAUUGUACUCCAUGCUCCACAGGAGCGUGACAUUAAUUCUGUAAAGGAAGUUUGGGAUCUUGCGACUGAACCAGCUUUCCUUUGCUAUGCAGCUAUAGUAGUUGCAGCAGCCUUAGUGCUUAUAUACUUUGUUGUCCCUCAUCAUGGUCAAACAAACAUAAUGGUGUACAUUGGAGUUUGUUCUCUUCUGGGAUCACUCACAGUUAUGAGUGUAAGAGCUCUUGGAAUUGCAUUGAAGCUAACAUUCUCAGGAACAAACCAACUAUUCUAUCCUCAGACUUGGGCUUUUGCACUAAUUGUGGCCACGUGUGUGAGCACUCAGAUUAACUAUCUAAACAAGGCGCUGGACACCUUUAAUACAGCAGUAGUCUCACCAAUAUAUUACGUGAUGUUUACAUCACUAACAAUUAUAGCCAGUGUGAUAAUGUUCAAGGAUUGGGACCAUCAAAAUCCAACACAAAUUGUUACAGAGAUGUGUGGUUUCCUGACUAUCCUUUCUGGGACAUUUCUUCUUCACAAGACCAAGGACAUGGCUGACAGUCCUGGACAAUCUUUCUCCACAGAACGGCUAAAGCAUGCUAGUCAGAAUGGGUUUGCCAUUGAAGUCAUGCCACUAAAAUGUCAAGACUCUGUGGAUGAUGAGGCCUUGAUGCUGUCAGUUCCCAAGGCUGACAAUGACUACCUAAAGGAAGAGCAUCCUCUUAGAUAUAAAUACUCGAGUAUUGUCUGAUAGGUAAUUAAUUCUUCGCCAACCUUCGGCAGGAUGUCUUGGAACCUUUUUGCUCACAAUGGUCAGCCAAGAUUAAUUGAUGUAGACCUUGAGUUGGAGGUUUUACCUCAACCUGGCCUUGGAUAGAUUGAGAUCACAGAUUAUAAGUUGUCAACUAUUGCUUGCCUGUUUCUGGAGGAUGUUUUUUUUUUGCUAAGGAGCAAGCCAGAAAGAUGCCAAAUUCAGACCAAAGAAGUGUUAAGUCAUCCAGGAAUACCAGUUCUGGAAAAGAAUUUGAAGUGUAUUUAGCGACAGUGGUGUCGUUCACUAUACUAUUUCUUUUUCUCAUUUUAGGAAGUAGUGAAUUAGCUGCAAUGUGAUCUUAUCUGAUUUCUAGGAAGGUACUAUAUAGAAACGUCAGGCUUCAUUUUCUUUACCUGUAAUUACCUCAUAAAUUGCUGCCUACUUGUCAACGUAUAUACUGAGUCUGUGUAAGUAUCAAUUCAUACUUUAUGAUAAGCGGGCCCUUCUGAUAAACAGGUUGAUGACUCUAAUUUUGAUGUUUCACAUUGCAAAUUUUUUUUUCAUUAUGCCUCAUUGUGCAUUCCUUUUUUUCGUGGUGUUUAAAAAUGCAACUUUUAGGACCAUUAUUGCGAUUUGUGCUGCAUAGUUUAAAAACUGUGAUUCAAGGAGGAUGUUGUGGAUGAAUAAUUUACAGUGUACAUUGAUUGUUUUAAGUGUGUAGCAGUUGCCGUGCUUUGUAAGUUUUCAGGAUAUCUGAUUGCAGAAAGCCAGAAAACAAUGGAAAUGGUUGUUGAAGGGAAGAACAGAGUUGCGCCUCAAAAGUAUUCUUUUACUACUACAUUAUUUGCUCCAAUUAUUUGGUACAUUGAAGGGAGGAUGCGUAGUUAUUAUCUAUUCAAGGGGAGAAAAUGUUCCAAGCUUCAACUCAGUACCCUGCAGGUGCUUCUACAACAAGAGCAGAGUACAAUCCAUCCUGAUCAAAGAUAGGCGGUGCAGAUUAUGCAUGCAUGAUUGAAUGUCUCUUAGAUGUUUUAAGAUUUGAGAGAGGAAGAGAGGAGUGACUCUUUGUUUGAUAUUUUUGCCAUCCAACCUUUGAUUGACGCUGAAGUGGCUUUUAAUCGGAUCUCGUGAAGUAAUACAAAUAUCAAUUCCGGUU